rnacentral:lncRNA from 1 species
GUUACAAAUGUCUGUUGAAUAUUUGUUGUACAAGGCUCCGGAUUCUUCGUGCGCCGUUGUAAAAGUGCGGUCUUCUUUCGAUCGUAUCCUGGACCAUUACGAUCUCCGUGUAAGAAAUUCUUCUGCUACAGCCGGCCCUCGCCCAAUGUGUAAAAGAUGGUUCUCUCAAGUCGCACCUCACGGCAGGGUCAUAUAUAAUAGAAAUUGUGAGCGCUUACUUCGCCCAUGGGAGUGAUUCCGUAUCAGCAUUCGUACAAUCCAUCAUUUGCCUUUUAGCAAUCAUUUGAAUGUGGUGGAACUCUUGACUGGUGUCAUAUAAACGUAAAGUGUCAGCCUUACAAUAAAAAAAUUCGUUUUCCA